GCCUGGGUGGCUCAGUUGGUUAAGCAUCUGACUUCAGCUCAGGUCACGAUCUCAUGGUUCAUGAGUUCAAGCCCCAUGUUGGGCU
rnacentral:tRNA from 1 species